rnacentral:lncRNA from 1 species
UGAGCCGAGUGCCCGGGGUGCCGGCGAGGAGAUGGAGGUUGAAAAUUUCCCCUUCUUGGGUCUUCCUGAAUAAUGGUGAACUGGUUAGCAGAUGGUGGUGAGCAUUGAUCUUUCAGAAUCUUCCUGAAUGCAGUUUGUUAAAUAUUUUUAUGUGGUUCAAUGAAACUGAAACUGGAAUGUGCAUUGAAGAUGAAAUUGAGCAAUACCAAGGAUUACUUUUGUCGGAUAUUAUGGUGACUGGUGAGCAUUGAUCUUUCGGGAACUUCUUGAAUGCAGAUUGCUAAAUGUGUUUAUGUGGUUCAAACGAAACUGAAACUGGAAUUGGGUUGAAGAUGAAUUUACGAAUAACUCGUUCCGCACACUUUCCAAAUGAUAACAACCCAGUUCACUACUACACCUAACAAAGCAGGACUUACUACAAGCCAUGGUGGUUUGGGAACAGGGGACAACACGAGGCCAAAGCCUUCCGAUCCACAAGCGACCCUCGUUCCCCGUCGCCACCUCUGUUUUUCUUAAGUGCUCGCUACCUCCGUUCUGUUUGUGUUACUCACCUCUGUUCUGUUUCUGUUACUCACAUCUCUCAACAACGACUUGCUGUGAACUGAAAAUCUCUCACGCAAUACAGCACGCUGCAAUCCUGUACUUUUUUUGUGUUCCUUUGUUUUUCUAACUUGUAUAUCGGAUGGGGAAUAGGCCCAAUUGUGUCGGCCAACUGACCUGCCCUGACGCAGGGUUUAGCUUGGGUUGAACCGGACUUGUGCGCAUGAGUCAAAGCGUUGUAACUUCCAAGUUUUCGUUACAAGCAUUAUCGUAAACAUCGCGUCAUAUAGAUUCAAAGUUUUACCAUUAUCAUAGACACUGCCUUUCUAGUGAUGCUGCCGAGACUAUGAUUCUUAGUAUUGUGGAUUAUCCAUAUAUUACUGGGGUAAGUUAUAUGGAAUCUUGAUUGGUCAAAUCGUGGAGUUGUAUGAUUUUUGAUGAAUACUGCAAUCACAAGUCUCCGUUACUCAUAUCAUAACUUGGAAGAUGCCUAUUAUGCUGGAAGAUGAAUACUACGAUGCCUAUUUGUUACUAUGGUUACCCUAAAGCUCUACGACGCCCGUGGUACAAAUCACGACUGGUAGAAUUUAUUGUUUUGGCAGUGUUUCUUAGAUUUCAUAUGUGUCUUUCUUCUGGACAUCACUGUACUUUGCUCAUGCCAAAACAAACAAUAGUGCUCAGGCCACUAACACAGAAGCAAAGGACAUAUCGGCCAACAAACAAUCAAUAGGGACAAAGAAAAACAGUUAGUGAUUUUAGGGAGAGAGAGAACAUGAGAGAAAUUAGUAACUUUAGUAAGUUUAUUAGCUGAAAACAAAUUGGCUAGAGAGCUUAGUAACUUUAGUAAGUUUAUUAGCAGAUUUGCUCUGUCUUUCCUUUUGGUCACAAGUAGCAUUUCCCUUCAAAAUAAAUCAGUGAAGCAGUGGUACAUUGUUACCUACCAGGCAAUAAUAAGCAGGCAUGAUACUAUGAGAGCUUGCUAGCACCGUCGGUGUCAAAACCGGCGGAUCUCGGGUAGGGGGUCCUGAACUGUGCGUCUAAGGCUAAUGGUAACAGGAGGCUGGGGACACGAUGUUUACCCAGGUUCGGGCCCUCUCGAUGGAGGUAAUACCCUACUUCCUGCUUGAUUGAUCUACUACGAGACCGUAGAGGCUAACCCUAGAAGCUAGCCUAUGAUUAUGAUUGUUCUUCUUGUCCUACGGACUAAACCCUCCGGUUUAUAUAGACACCGGAGGGGGCUAGGGUUACACAGAGUCGGUUACAGAGAAGGAGAUCUACAUAUCCGAAUCGUCAAGCUUCCCUUCCAUGCAAAGGAGAGUCCCAUCCAGACACGGGACGAAGUCUUCAAUCUUGUGUCUUCAUAGUCCAACAGUCCGGCCAAAGUAUAUAGUCCGGCUGUCCGAAUACCCCCUAAUCCAGGACUCCCUCAGUAGCCCCUGAACCAGGCUUCAAUGAAGAUGAGUCUGGCGUGUAGAUUGUCUUCGGCAUUGCAAGGCAGGUUCCAUCUCCGAAUACUCCAAAAUAAACUUCGAACACAUGAAUCGUGUCCGGCUCUACAAAAUAAAUUCCACAUACCACCGUAGAGAGCAUAAUAUUCCACAAAUCCAAUCUGCUGACAGCUUUUCCUAGCAUGACAUCACGCCAUGGCCCGGUCACUACUAACCGUUUUGCCCAGCCUGCCACUACGCGUGUCGCGAGGCGGUUUUAUUGGCACGUCUUGUCGAAGCAGAGAUCGUGUUCCCCUUAUCGCGGGAUUCUCAUCAAUACGGGCGUGGGUAACCCAACUACGCCUGUUGGUAUGACUCCUCAAUUUUAGGCAAGUCCCAAAUGGUCACGCUGAGGAUGCUUGAUAUUCACCCCCUUUAUAGAGGGACCGAGGCCCGUCCCUUUCUUCCCACGCUUGCUCCUUCCCCCACCUCGAGUUCCAAUACCCAAAGCUCAGGCUUAAGCACUUCGAACCUUCAAUCAUGUCCGGACCCAACCUUCAAGGUCGGUGGAUAGCCUCCUCUGUCACAGAGGAGGACAUCGAGAAGCUCAGGGAGGCCAGGUAUCUGACCUCAGAAAUCCAGCACAGGCUUCCUGCCCAAGGGCAGGUCAUCCCCACUCCCGAACCCAACGAGAGCGUUGUAUUCGUUUCCCACUUCCUCCGAGGCUUAGGCUUUAGUCUUGAUCUCUUUGUGAGGGGGCUCAUGUUUUAUUACGGGCUAGAUUUUCAUGAUCUAGCUCCGGAUUCCAUCCUUCACAUCUCGUUGUUUAUCGUCGUGUGCGAAGCCUUCCUCCACAUUACCCCACACUUCGGUCUAUGGCUCAAGAACUUCAACGUAAAGUCGAAGGUGAUCGAUGGACGGCACGCGGAGUGCGGAGGCGCUAUAAUAAGCAAAAGCGCCGAUGCCCCAUGGCCACAAGGUUCUUUCUCGGAGGUGUUCGAUUUAUGGCAAUGGAGGUGGUUCUAUAUCACAGCUCCCCGAGGCACAAAGUGGGCGGCCGCCCUGCCUUCCGCUCGGGCCCUCCGCCCCAACUGGCGUCAUGGGUCAACGAGGGAUUGGACUGGGGGCCUGCAAAUGAUGUACCGACAUUGCAAAGCCGCAUUCGGGAUCUUCUUGAGAGGGAUGUCGGCCUCAUCAAAAUAAUUCAGGUAAUGCUAGUCCGUCGGGUCUUGACGUGCAAACGUCGACCUCUCCGGAUGUGGGAGUUCAACCCAGAAGGACCGCAAACUAUUCAACACUUCUUCGGCAUGACGCUCAAAGGGAUGUAUCGGCUAUUCUUCGGAUCACGAAUAAAGUGUCCGGACACCACCGAGGAUGCGGGCUUGAACUGCAAUCGUCCAGAUACCCAAGUAAGUAACUCUGCAACCAAACAUGUUGUUAAUGUAUAUUAUAACAUUAUUCUAAAAACUGUCCGCGACCAGGAUUGGCUCAGCAAGGCGGAGAGGAUCAGGUGUCCGGCCCCGCUUCCCGAAGGCUCCCCGAAUCCUGCGUUAACCAGGAUGCUUAAACGUGCACUGAAUCAAGUGCCAUCGGGGGAGGAUGAAUGUAACAAGCCGGUGUAAUGAUGCUACAGUAACCCCUGGGGUUAAGUUAAUUGUUUUGCUAAACAUGUGCCUGAUCAUUAUUGUCUCAUGCUCUUUCACAUUCCAGUUGAAUUCAAAUUCAAAUUCUGUGUGAAAUUCAAAAUGCUCAAACAUGAAAACUAAAAUGUUCAUCAUGUGGAAAGUAUUCUUCUGGUAAAAUUGGUGGUGAACCGAUAUUUUUUGCAAAAUGUCUAAAUGGCUUGAAAUAGCUAAAACCAGAAAAAGCUUUAAGAUAAAAAAAAGGGAAAGCCCCCCCCCCCUCAACUGGGCCGACUGGCCCAGCUGGCCACCGCGCCCCCUUCCCAUGGGCCUCGGCCCACCACAGCAUGCCGGCCCAGCUCCCCGUACCGCGCCCUCCUCCUGUUCCCCCGGUGUGCACCGCUACAGGGGCUCGUCGNNNNNNNNNNNNNNNNNNNNNNNNNNNNNNNNNNNNNNNNNNNNNNNNNNNNNNNNNNNNNNNNNNNNNNNNNNNNNNNNNNNNNNNNNNNNNNNNNNNNNNNNNNNNNNNNNNNNNNNNNNNNNNNNNNNNNNNNNNNNNNNNNNNNNNNNNNNNNNNNNNNNNNNNNNNNNNNNNNNNNNNNNNNNNNNNNNNNNNNNNNNNNNNNNNNNNNNNNNNNNNNNNNNNNNNNNNNNNNNNNNNNNNNNNNNNNNNNNNNNNNNNNNNNNNNNNNNNNNNNNNNNNNNNNNNNNNNNNNNNNNNNNNNNNNNNNNNNNNNNNNNNNNNNNNNNNCCUCACGCGCUCACUCCUCCCGAGCGCCACCGUCGCCGUGCGUCGGUUGAUCCCGCGGCCACCGUUGUCCCCGACCCUCUCCGACGUGCCCCCAGGCGCUGCCUCGACCUCCACAUCCGCCCCGCCGAGCCGCACGGACCGGGACGGCCCCGCCGCACCGCCACGACCUCGCCUUCGCCCUCGGCUCUGACGAACGCCGCCGCCCCGAAUCCACACCACUGCUGCUCCUAGUCACCCAACGGGCCACCGUGUGCCCCCAAGGUGAGCUCCGGCCCCCUUUUCCCUCUCCUCGCGCGUCUCCGCCUCCACCGUAGCUAGCUCGCCCGCAAGACGAGCUUCGCCGUCCGCCAUUGCCAUCGUAGGGCUCGCCACCGAGCUCCUCCGCUCGAGCUAGUAGCUCCGACGAGCUCCUGGAGCGCCGUAGACCUCGCCCAGCUUCUUCGUUCGCCAAAACACGCACUGCAACGCCGAUCCCGACGAGGUCCCGAACCCCACCGCCGCCUCCACUCGUCGCCGACGCAGUUCUGGUCACCCCCGCGUCCAACCGACCACACCAUGCGGCGCGGCUUCGUCUCCUUGUUCGAACGCGCCAAGUCCCGGGCCAAAUGACCCCCUGUGCGCGAUUCCCGGCGAAGUCCGGCGAGCCCCGCCACUGUUUUGGUCGCCGGCGGCGAAACCCCGACGCCGCCGACGUGGCACACCUGGACCCCGCCUCUGGGUCACUGCCCGUGGGCCCCCUGGCCCCAGUUGACCACGUUGACCGUGGUCAACUGUGCUGACUGGGCACACAGUGUCCCUGACACGCGGGCCCCGUCGCUUAUUUUGUUAAAUAAAUGUUUUUCUAAAUAACAACGAUUAAUUAAAACGUUAGUUAAAUUAGUUAGUUAGUUAGUACUAACUAGUCACUGACUGCUGGGGCCCAUGCCCCCUAACUAACCCUGUUAGUUUAGUUAAGCCUCUGUUAGACAGAGAGGCUGACAGGUGGGUCCCACCUAUCAGUUUGACUGGUCAGCGGAGCUGACGCAGUGCUGACAUCACUGCUGACGCAAUAAACCUUUUCUGCUUUUAAAAUAAUUCAGAAAUUGGUUUAAACUUUGAAAAUCCGUAACUUUUAAACCGUAGCUCGGAUCGUAAAAGUUUAUAUAUGAAAAACGCCCAGAAAAACGAGACGAACCCAAAUAUGCGGUCCGUUUACCUGUCAGAAGCCUCUAACUAUCUGAACAUGGAACAUUCCCCUCAUGUCAUCUGUUUGACACAGGCCCGGAACCGGGAAUACAUUCCCGGUUGAAUCCCCCCUUCACCUAUAUCAUGUAGCCAUACGUUAGGUCACACCCGGCACAACAUAUUGCCACGUUAUGCUUUGUGAUGCUAUGUUUGAUUUAUAUUUACUGUUUCUUCCCCCUCUUCUCUCCGGUAGACCCCAAGACCGAUGUCGAUGCCCCUGUGAUCGACUACGUCGAUGACAACCCUCCUUGCCAGAGCAACCAGGCAAGCCCCCCCUUUGAUCAUCCCGAUAUCGCCCAUUCCAUUCUCUCAUGCUUGCAUUAGAUUUUGCUACUGUUAUUGUUUGCUCCUAUUCUGAUGCAUAGCCUGCUUUUGUAUCUACUGUUGUACCUUACCUGCUUAUCCUAAACUGCUUAGUAUAGGUUGGUUAGUGAUCCAUCAGUGACCCCCACUUUGUCCCGAUUGCCCCGCUGGAUUAUCAGAAGACCCGAUCAACAGGAUCAAAGACCAGGCCCCGGCACCGCACAUCACUUUCCCCUUAGUUGCUCGACACUGCUGGGUUACUAUCGAGUGCCGAGGGUGAUACCUCUACAACACUUCUGAUGUUAACCCUAUAGUGUAGCUAUUCGGUCGUGGUCAUCGAGGGUGAUUCCGCCUUAACCACUUCCGAUACGACUCUGUUGUGCAACCCCUCAAGUGUGAACCUCGAGGGUGAUUCCUCUUACGUUCACCUUGAUGAUUACAUCGAGUGAAAUUCACCGGGGGUGAUUCCUCGGGUUUUCCCCUUGAUGUUUGGACACACGGUUACUAUGGUUACUAUGACUUUACACUGAACCAUGUUACUAAAGACGGGUCGACCCUGAGGGGUGCCCGCGCGAGAAUAAUUGCGAGUGAUGAGGAGUCGGGUUAACCUAGAAGGUGCCCGUGAGAUAAUUACGAGGCGUGGCCGGGCAUUCUUAGCCCUUGCCGCAAGUCCUCGAGACGGGGCAACGGGGUCACAUCUUUCGUGAGUCUCUGCUUGUUACCGCGCGUUCCCAAUCCACUACGAUUUGGAUAUUUGAUCCGAGGGGCCUCUGGCCUGAUAGCACUAACCAUCACGUGGGCAUAGUAUGGGCGUUCUGCAUCGUAUGCAUCAGCCGAAGCUUAAUAGACGUCAGCGACUGAGCGGCGCGCGCCGGGUUGGACUGGUUACGCCUUCUCUUGUAUAAGGGAGGCUAGGUCUGCUCACCGGCCGCGUACACAACGUGUAGGAGUUCCCGGGGAGAUGGCCCAUGACCCCUGGGGGCAUAGGUUUAGUCCGGCGUGCUGACCUCUCUGUUAAGUCUAGGUCGGGUUGCGGCGUAUUGUUUGGCCGAGGCCGGGCAUGACCCAGGAAAGUGUCUCCGGCCGGAGUUAAUCAAGCGUGGUGGGUAAGUUGGUGCACCCCUGCAGGGAAGAACUAAUCUAUGCAUAGCCUGUCCUACGGUAACGGACACGUGGAGUUGUAUCCCGAUCGAUACAACUAGAACUGGAUACUUGUGAUGAGAAUUGGAUGGUGAAGAGAAAUGGAUUGUGAUGAUAACUGGAUAGUAUGGCUCUGGGAUUGCUUUCUCGCAGGGAGUCGAGAAAGGAUCUCUGGCCGAGGUUGAUUACGCUACUACUUUACUUUAUGCUACUCUACUCCCUCCUGUUGCUGCAAGAUGGUGGUUUCCAGAAGAUGCUAGUCUUCGAUAGGACUAGGCCUUCUCUCUAUUCUGGCAUUUCUGUAGCCCAGUCCACAUAUAUAGCCUUCCUUUGAUAAUGUUGCAUAUGUAGUGUAGAUCCUUUCUUGCGAGUACUUUGGAUGAGUACUCACGGUUGCUUUGUUUCCCCUUUUCCCCAUUCUUUCUUCUUUCUGGUUGUCGCAACCAGAUGGUGGAGCCCAGGAUCCAGACGACACCACCAACGACUACUACUACCCCGAGGGUACCUACUACUACGUGGAGGCCGCCGACGGCCAGGAGUAGUUAGGAGGCUCCCAGGCAGGAGGCCUUGCCUUUUCGAUCGCUGCUGCUUUUGUGCUAGCCUUCUUAAGGCAAACUUGUCUAACUCAUGUUUGUACUCAGAUAUUGUUGCUUCCGCUGACUCUUGUAUAAUCGAGCUUAUGUAUUUGAGCCCUCUAGGCCCCUGGCUUGUAAUAUAAAGCUUGUAUUAUUUUAAUUUGUGUAUAGAGUUGUGUUGUGAUAUCUUCCCGUGAGUCCUUGAUCUUGAUCGUACACAUUUGUGCAUGAUUAGUGUAGAUUGAAUCGAGGGCGUCACAAGUUGGUAUCAGAGCCGACUGCCUGUAGGUAGCCCCCUUUCCAACUCCUUGGCCGAAGUUGAGUCUAGUCACUGAAAAACUUUUACUAACAUGGCUGUGUGUCUUACGGGCCCACGUCGCCAUUGGGUGGUGUUAGGAUCUUUUACUCCUUGUCUAUACUCUGGGACUCUGAACUCUCUUCUACUCGGGUUAAACGAAUUUACUAACUCUAACAUUAGGAUCCCGUGACCACAUUCACCCCAAAGUUGGAUAAGCCAUAGUUACUCCUUAGAAUAGCAUCUUGAAUAAUGCACACACUGUCAUGUUGACUACUAAGAGGUAUCCAUCGUACCUCUUUCAUUAUGCCUGUUUCAUCAUGAAUGAUCCUUUGUCUUUGCAAAUGCUCGAUACUGAACUACCCCCUGUUACAUGUUAGCAGGAUGGUUAGACCCGCUGGUCGUGGCCGUGGUGCCAACGAUCCACCACCGCCCGAAUUCUUUGCUGGAAUGAUGCAACAGUUUGAGCUGAACCGCCAGUUCAUGGAAGGAAUGAUGGCUCAGUUUCCUCGUCCGAAUAUGAACCAGCAGCCAGCCCCAGUUACUCUGCAGGACUUCAUGGGCCUCAACCCGACAAUCUACCGCAGCUCAACUCAGCCCCUUGAUGCUGAUGACUGGCUCUGAGACAUCAUGUAUGAAAUGGAGUCUGCUAGUGUUGCCCCUGCCAGCUAUGUCACUUUCGCAUCCUUCUUCCUCAAGGGUCCCGCUGCUCAAUGGUGGGACAGCCACAGGCGUACCCUAUCUGCUGGAACGGUCAUCACUUGGCCAGAUUUCCAAGCCGCUUUCCGUGCCCGCUUCAUUCCUUAGGGAAUCAUGGACAGGAAGAAGCGCGAGUUCCGUAACCUCACCCAAUGCAACAAGUCUGUAGAUGCUUAUCAGCGGGAAUUCUUGGAAUUGUCCCGUUACGCUGAAGAAGACAUUGCUACUGAUGCUCGUAAGCAAGAAAAGUUUCGUGAUGGACUUCACCCUGAUGUCAAGCUAGCACUGCUCGUUCAUGACUUUGCCGACUUCACCACCUUGGUGAACAAGGCUAUUCAGGUUGAGACUGGUCUUCAGGAACACCAGGGAUUCCUCAGGCGUAGCCGUGACGCUUUCCCAUCUUCGGGCCCGUCAGCGCAGAAGCGUCGGAUAUGGAUUCCCCACAGCAUGUAUCGUCCAACUGCACCUGCACCAAGACAGUCCUAUGUUGCACCUCGUCUACCUCCUCCAUCGGAGAGGCAGCCUCUUCGAGUGGUACCACCCCAAGCUCCUACUCCCAAUCCCAAUGAUGAAUUGUGCUUUAGGUGUGGUCGUCCAGGUCACCAUGCCAGAGAGUGCAAUCAAAACAAGAACCAGCUGGCUCUGCCUUCUAAUGGCCGUGGAAACAACCAGCCCCGCAAUAGCAAUGCCCGACCUUAUGAUCGUGGUCAGGCUAAUCAUGUUGAUCUGAAUGAAGCUCAAGACCAGCCUGCUACUGUGAUGGGUACUCUUCUCGUUAAUUCAGUACCGGCUUCUGUUUUAUUCGAUUCAGGAGCAUCGCAUUCAUUUAUGUCAGAAAAUUUUGCAUACGCACACGACAUCCGAUGUGAGCCCAUGAACACUCCAAUAGUGAUGCGCACCCCUGCGGGCCGAUGUCAAACUACCAUGAUUGGUCACGACGUUCCCAUUGAGAUUGAAGGGUUGGAAUUCCUUGUUUCUCCCAUUAUUCUGGAGUCUUCCAAUAUUAACCUCAUUUUGGGAAUGGAAUGGUUGAAAGCGCAUACUGCCUCUAUCGUUUGCGCCACCAAGGUCGUUCACCUCCUACAUCCUUCCGAUGAGAUAGUAAGCUACCAUGCUCAGCUUGUUCAGGACGCUGAAGCACGACUUUAUGCUUUGAAUGCGUUGAACGCAGCACCUCUUGAGGGGAUUGAAAAGAUUCCAGUUGUUUGCGACUUCCAAGACGUAUUUCCAGAUGAACUUCCAGGAAUACCCUCUGCCCGGGCUGUCGAGUUCGUCAUCGACUUGAAACCAGGCACCGUUCCUAUCGCCAAACGACCCUACAAGAUGCCACCUCAUGAACUCCUUGAGCUUAAGGAGGAAAUCGACAAAUCUCUUCGCAAGGGUUUCAUUCGUCCAAGUUCCUCUGCUUGGGGAGCACCUUCUCUCUUUGUGAAGAAGAAGGACGGAACGAACCGUUUGAUCCAAGAUUACCAUCCUAUCAACCAAGCUACAAUUCAGAACAAAUAUCCCCUUCCUCGGAUCAAUGAUCUGUAUGAUCAACUUGCUGGUUCAUCGAUAUUCUCUAAACUUGACUUGAGGUUGGGUUACCACCAGAUCCGUGUUCGUGAAGAGGAUAUUCCAAAGACCGCCUUCGUCACUCGUUAUGGUUCUUACGAGUACACCGUCAUGUCAUUCAGUUUAACCAAUGCUCUAGCUACAUUCUCUCGUCUGAUGAACUAUAUAUUCAUGGAUUACCUCGACAAGUUCGUCGUAGUCUAUCUGGAUGAUAUACUGGUAUAUUCGAAGAAUAAAGAAGAACAUGCUGAACAUCUUCGUCUUGUUCUGGAGAAGCUUCGAGAGCAUCAACUUUAUGCCAAGUAUUCCAAGUGUGAAUUCUGGUUACCCGAAGUCACCUACCUUGGUCAUGUUAUCUCCAAGGAUGGGAUUGCCAUCAACCCAGAGCGCGUUUAGGCUAUUCUUGACUGGACCCCUCCUAAGACUGUCAAGCAAGUCAGAAGCUUUCUCGGCCUAGCCAGCUACUGUCGCCGCUUUGUCGAGAACUUCUCCAAGAUCGCCAAGCCACUGACUAAUCUGCUUCACAAAGGCGUUAAGUUUGACUGGACAGAAAAAUGUCAGGAAAGUUUCCAGGCACUCAAGGACAAGCUGACUUCUGCCCCAGUGCUUGCUCCUCCUGAUUCUCGCAAGGACUUCGUCAUCUAUUGUGACGCUUCACGUCAAGGAUUAGGCUGUGUUCUAAUGCAAGAGCGCAGGGUGAUUGCUUAUGCUUCCCGUCAAGUGCGUCCUCACAAGGAAAACUACCCGGUUCAUGACCUUGAGCUUGCAGCAGUUAUCUUUGCAUUGAAGCUAUGGCGACAGUACCUUCUCGGUAAUCGUUGUGAGAUCUUCACUGAUCAUCAGAGUCUGAAGUACCUGUUUACCCAGCCAGAUCUGAACCUCCAUCAGCAGCGAUGGAUGGAAGCUAUUGCGGACUACAACUGCGGUAUAUCUUAUACCCCUGGUAAGGCUAAUGUAAUGGCCGAUGCCCUGAGCCGCAAGUCUUAUUGCAAUAAUCACAUGGUCUACAAAGCUCAACCCCGCCUUUAUGAAGAGCUAUGCAAGCUAAACCUUCAACUAGUUCCACAGGGUUCUCUGAAUAACCUUGUCCUGGAACCAACUCUUCUGAAAGAAAUUAAGUCUGCUCAAGCCAAAGAUGCUCACGUUGAUUUGAUGAAAAAGGAUCUUGCCUUAGAGAAAUCCAGAGAUUUCUCACUUGGUGAAGAUGGAACCUUAUACUUCAGAGAUCGCAUUGUAGUACCCCGGUUCGAGCUUAUGACAGAGAAGGUGAUGAAAGAAGCGCAUGACACCCCUCUCUCUAUUCAUCCGGGAAGUACCAAGAUGUAUCUAGACAUCCGUCAGAAGUACUGGUGGUCUAAAAUGAAGCAAGACAUUGCUCGAUAUAUCGAAGAAUGUGAUGUUUGCCGUCGCGUCAAAGCAGAACAUCAGAAACCGGCUGGACUUCUACAACCGCUUCCGAUUCCUGAAUGGAAGUGGGAUAAGAUCCAAAUGGAUUUCGUCACAGGCCUUCCCAAGUCUCAGAAAGGUAACGAUGCUAUCUUUGUUGUCAUCGACCAAUUCUCGAAAGUUGCUCACUUUCUGCUAGUCAAGGAGACAAUCACUGCUAGUCAAUUAGCAAACUUGUAUAUCUCCAGAAUUGUGUCACUCCAUGGCAUUCCGAAGGAGAUCAGUUCAGACCGUGGCAGUUUAUUCACUUCAAAGUUCUGGGAUAGUUUCCAAGAGGCAAUGGGAACUCACAUUACCUGGAGCACUGCUUAUCAUCCCCAAUCCCAAGGCCAAGUCGAGCGAGUCAAUCAAAUUCUUGAAGACAUGCUUCGAGCUUGUGUUAUUUCUUUCGGCAAGAAGUGGGAAGAAUCUCUCCCUGAUGCGGAGUUCUCUUAUAACAACAGCUAUCAAGCCAGCUUGUAGAUGGCACCCUUUGAAGUGCUUUAUGGACGGAAGUGCCGAACCCCUCUGAAUUGUUCAGAAACUGGGAACGAGCACUCAUUGGUCCGGACAUUAUUCAACAAGCUGAAGAGCAGGUUCGCAUUGUCCGGGAUAAUCUCAAGGCGGCCCAGUCCCGCCAGAAGAGCAACUAUGACCGGAAACACUGGGGCUCAACUUAUCAACCUGGUGAACAAGCUUAUCUGCGUGUCACUCCUUUGAGAGGCACUCAUCGGUUCGGAGUCAAGGGCAAGUUAGCUCCUCGCUACAUUGGUCCCUUCCGUAUUCUCGCCCGUCGUGGACUGGUGGCUUAUCAACUGGAGUUGCCACCUCAAUUCUCUCAUGUUCAUGAUGUCUUCCACGUGUCGCAACUUCGUCGAUGCUUCAAGGAUCCGGAACGUGAAGUGGAUCCGGAAUUGAUUGAAGUUCAAGAUGAUCUCACAUACAAGGAGCAUCCUAUCCGCAUUCUUGAAGAAGCUGAACAUCGAACCCGCCAGAAGGUUACCAAGUUCCUCAAGGUGCAAUGGUCGAAUCAUACUAAAGAUGAAGCCACUUGGGAACGCGAAGAUAACCUCCAUGAUGAAUACCCCGACCUGUUCCCUUCUACCUCUUAAUUCUCGGGACGAGAAUUUCUUUUAGAGGAGGAGAGUUGUAACACCCCGGUGUAAUGAUGCUACAGUAACCCCUGGGGUUAAGUUAAUUGUUUUGCUAAACAUGUGCCUGAUCAUUAUUGUCUCAUGCUCUUUCACAUUCCAGUUGAAUUCAAAUUCAAAUUCUGUGUGAAAUUCAAAAUGCUCAAACAUGAAAACUAAAAUGUUCAUCAUGUGGAAAGUAUUCUUCUGGUAAUAUUGGUGGUGAACCGAUUUUUUUUUGCAAAAUGUCUAAAUGGCUUGAAAUAGCUAAAACCAGAAAAAGCGUUAAGAUAAANNNNNNNNNNNNNNNNNNNNNNNNNNNNNNNNNNNNNNNNNNNNNNNNNNNNNNNNNNNNNNNNNNNNNNNNNNNNNNNNNNNNNNNNNNNNNNNNNNNNNNNNNNNNNNNNNNNNNNNNNNNNNNNNNNNNNNNNNNNNNNNNNNNNNNNNNNNNNNNNNNNNNNNNNNNNNNNNNNNNNNNNNNNNNNNNNNNNNNNNNNNNNNNNNNNNNNNNNNNNNNNNNNNNNNNNNNNNNNNNNNNNNNNNNNNNNNNNNNNNNNNNNNNNNNNNNNNNNNNNNNNNNNNNNNNNNNNNNNNNNNNNNNNNNNNNNNNNNNNNNNNNNNNNNNNNNNNNNNNNNNNNNNNNNNNNNNNNNNNNNCAUGCCGGCCCAGCUCCCCGUACCGCGCCCUCCUCCUGUUCCCCCGGUGCGCACCGCUACAGGGGCUCGUCGCCGCCCGACCACCUCGUCGGCAACGCCGCGGGUGGAUAAGAGUGCCCCCCCUCCGUCUCCUCGAGUCCUCCCCACCUACCUCCACCCACUCCCCUGCUCGCCCUCUCCGCUCUCUCCCUCACUCCCCAGAUCUACCUUUCCCCUCUCCCUCACGCGCUCACUCCUCCCGAGCGCCACCGUCGCCGUGCGUCGGUUGAUCCCGCGGCCACCGCUGUCCCCGGCCCUCUCCGACGUGCCCCCAGGCGCUGCCUCGACCUCCACAUCCGCCCCGCCAAGCCGCACGGACCGAGACGGCCCCACCGCACCGCCACGACCUCGCCUUCGCCCUCGGCUCCGACGAACGCCGCCGCCCCGAAUCCACACCACUGCUGCUCCUAGUCACCCAACGGGCCACCGUGUGCCCCCAAGGUGAGCUCUGGCCCCCUUUUCCCUCUCGUCGCGCGUCUCCGCCUCCACCGUAGCUAGCUCGCCCGCAAGCCGAGCUCCGCCGUCCGCCAUUGCCGUCGUAGGGCUCGCCACCGAGCUCCUCCGCUUGAGCUAGUAGCUCCGACGAGCUCCUGGAGCGCCGUAGACCUCGCCCAGCUUCUUCGUUCACCAAAACACGCACUGCAACACCGAUCCCGACGAGGUCCCGAACCCCGCCGCCGCCUUCACUCGUCGCCGACGCAGUUUCGGUCACCCCCGCGUCCAACCGACCACACCAUGCGGCGCGGCUUCGUCUCCUUGUUCGAACGCGCCAAGUCCCGGGCCAAAUGACCCCCUGUGCACGAUUCCCGGUGAAGUCCGGCGAGCCCCGCCACUGUUUUGGUCGCCGGCGGCGAAACCCCGACGCCGCCGACGUGGCACACCUGGACCCCGCCUCUGGGUCACUGCCCGUGGGCCCCCUGGCCCUAGUUGACCACGUUGACCGUGGUCAACUGUGCUGAUUGGGCACACAGUGUCCCUGACACGCGGGCCCCAUCGCUUAUUUUGUUAAAUAAAUGUUUUUCUAAAUAAAAACGAUUAAUUAAAAUGUUAGUUAAAUUAGUUAGUUAGUUAGUACUAACUAGUCACUGACUGCUGGGGCCCACGCCCCCUAACUAACCCUGUUAGUUUAGUUAAGCCUCUGUUAGACAGAGAGGCCGACAGGUGGGUCCCACCUGUCAGUUUGACUGGUCAGCAGCUGACACAGUGUUGACGUCACUGCUGACGCAAUAAACCUUUUCUGCUUUUAAAAUAAUUCAGAAAUUGGUUUAAACUUUGAAAAUCCGUAACUUUUAAACCGUAGCUCGGAUCGUAAAAGUUUAUAUAUGGAAAACGCCCAGAAAAACGAGACGAAUCCAAAGAUGCGGUCCGUUUACCCGUCAGAAGCCUCUAACUAUCUGAACAUGGAACAUUCCCCCUCAUGUCAUCUGUUUGACACAAGCCCGGAACCGGGAAUACAUUCCCGGUUGAAUUCCCCCUUCACCUAUAUCAUGUAGCCAUACGUUAGGUCACACCUGGCACAACAUAUUGCCACGUCAUGCUUUGUAAUGCUAUGUUUGCUUUAUAUUUACUGUUUCUUCCCCCUCUUCUCUCCAGUAGACCCCAAGACCGAUGCCGAUGCCCCUGGGAUCGACUACGUCGACGACAACCCUCCUUGCCAGAGCAACCAGGCAAGCCCCCCCUUUGAUCAUCCCAAUAUCGCCCAUUCCAUUCUCUCAUGCUUGCAUUAGAUUUUGCUACUGUUAUUGUUUGCUCCUAUUCUGAUGCAUAGCCUGCUUUUGUAUCUACUGUUGUACCUUACCUGCUUAUCCUAAACUGCUUAGUAUAGGUUGGUUAGUGAUCCAUCAGUGACCCCCACUUUGUCCCGAUUGCCCCGCUGGAUUAUCAGAAGACCCGAUCAACGGGAUCGAAGACCAGGCCCCGGCACCGCACAUCACUUUCCCCUUAGUUGCUCGACACUGCUGGGUUACUAUCGAGUGCCGAGGGUGAGACCUCUACAGCACUUCUGAUGUUAACCCUGUAGUGUAGCUAUUCGGUCGUGGUCAUCGAGGGUGAUUCCGCCUUAACCACUUCCUAUACGACUCUGUCGUGCAACCCCUCAAGUGUGAACCUCGGGGGUGAUUCCUCUUACGUUCACCUUGAUGAUUACAUCGAGUGAAAUUCACCGGGGGUGAUUCCUCGGGUUUUCCCCUUGAUGUUUGGACACACGGUUACUAUGGUUACUAUGACUUUACACUGAACCAUGUUACUAAAGACGGGUCGACCCUGAGGGGUGCCCGCGCGAGCAUAAUUGCGAGUGAUGAGGAGUCGGGUUAACCUGGAAGGUGCCCGUGAGAUAAUUACGAGGCGUGGCCGGGCAUUCUUAGCCCUUGCCGCAAGUCCUCGAGACGGGGCAACGGGGUCACAUCUUUCGUGAGUCUCUGCUUGUUACCGCGCGUUCCCAAUCCACUAUGAUUUGGAUAUUUGAUCCGAGGGGCCUCUGGCCAGAUAGCACUAACCAUCACGUGGGCAUAGUAUGGGUGUUCUGCGUCGUAUGCAUCAGCCGAAGCUUAAUAGACAUCAGCGACUGAGCGGCACGCGCCGGGUUGGACUGGUUACGCCUUCUCUUGUAUAAGGGAGGCUAGGUCUGCUCACCGGCCGCGUACGCAACGUGCAGGAGUUUCCGGGGAGAUGGCCCAUGACCCCUGGGGGCAUAGGUUUAGUCCGGCGUGCUGACCUCUCUGUUAAGUCUAGGUCGGGUUGCGGCGUAUUGUUUGGCCGAGGCCGGGCAUGACCCAGGAAAGUGUGUCCGGCCGGAGUUAAUCAAGCAUGGUGGGUAAGUUGGUGCACCCCUGCAGGGAAGAACUAAUCUAUGCAUAGCCUGUCCUACGGUAACGGACACUUGGAGUUGUAUCCCGAUCGAUACAACUAGAACUGGAUACUUGUGAUGAGAAUUGGAUGGUGAUGAGAAAUGGAUUGUGAUGAUAACUGGAUAGUAUGGCUCUGGGAUUGCUUUCUCGCAGGGAGUCGAGAAAGGAUCUCUGGUCGAGCUUGAUAACGCUACUACUUUACUUUAUGCUACUCUACUCCCUCCUGUUGCUGCAAGAUGGUGGUUUCUAGAAGAUGCUAGUCUUCGAUAGGACUAGGCCUUCUCUCUAUUCUGGCAUUUCUGUAGCCCAGUCCACAUAUAUAGCCUUCCUUUGAUAAUGUUGCAUAUGUAGUGUAGAUCCUUGCUUGCGAGUACUUUGGAUGAGUACUCACGGUUGCUUUGUUCCCCCUUUUCCCCAUUCUUUCUUCUUUCUGGUUGUCGCAACCAGAUGGUGGAGCCCAGGAUCCAGACGACACCACCAACGACUACUACUACCCCGAGGGUACCUACUACUACGUGGAGGCCGCCGACGGCCAGGAGUAGUUAGGAGGCUCCCAGGCAGGAGGCCUUGCCUUUUCGAUCGCUGCUGCUUUUGUGCUAGCCUUCUUAAGGCAAACUUGUCUAACUCAUGUUUGUACUCAGAUAUUGUUGCUUCCGCUGACUCUUGUAUAAUCGAGCUUAUGUAUUUGAGCCCUCUAGGCUCCUGGCUUGUAAUAUAAAGCUUGUAUUAUUUUAAUUUGUGUAUAGAGUUGUGUUGUGAUAUCUUCCCGUGAGUCCUUGAUCUUGAUCAUACACAUUUGCGUGCAUGAUUAGUGUAGAUUGAAUCGAGGGCGUCACAAUGAAGGGAAGAGUAGAGAAGCCGAAAACGAGCUUCAUACAUUGUACAUCCAAAACGGGGGGAUUAAUGUCUCCAUGAAGGAGGAUAAUCGGGGAGGUGAAUCUAACGUUCCCUCCCCCCGCGGGAAGAAAAGGGCCGCCUCCGAACACUUGGAAACGGAGGUGCCAAUACAAGGGAAGAAACCCUUGCCAGGGAGUCUUGCCCUAGAGGGCGUCCUCACCGCACAGCACCCACACACGGGCCAACCCUCCAUCGAGCUGUAAGUAAAAAAGGACUGUGAUAAAACAUGUCCUGCAUUAUCUCUAAGAAUAAUAACCGAGAUCUAUCUCUUGCAGUCCGGCUCGUAGCCCUUCUCAACAGAGUUGGUCUUUGGGGGAUCUUCUUCCAGAGAUGAUGGAGAGUGAAACUCCACCUGCCUCUCCGCCCCAUGGGGCGAGCGACCCUGAGGUGUCGUCAUGGAGGAUCUCUCCUGAUCCACUAAGGCCAGAAUUUAAUGCUUCGGCCUCCCGAAGCCCUGAGUAUUCGGCUCCCAGGGAGAGCAACAAGAAGAGUCCGGGAUUGUUCGGCACCGAGCCGGACACACUGACGGGCCUUCUAGAGUGAGCGACUAUAUCUGAGGCGCACCGUGCUUUAAUGAGUAUGGUGUUUGAGAGAAUUUCAUCCACCAAAAGCGGGUUAAAUGAAGCUUUUACAAGCCUGCUCAAAGGCUUUGAGGUACGCAAAGAAAUAUGUAAACUUUCAGCUGUACCGCACACGCUAGGUGUGCUCUAUGUAGAUAGUAGCCCCUGAGACUCUAGUUGCCAGCCCGAGGCGGCAAACGGAGGAUGAUACUCCCAAGUAAUGAUCGCGCUGCGUUAUGUGCAGACGGCUAAGUGUCCGGCGGUUGCCUGGACUGCUGAGUUCGCCGAACUAAGGCGACAACUUGAUGUGGCGGAUGCUGACAUCGCGCUGUGAACAAGCGGCUUGACGAGGCAUAGGGUAUGUGCUGCUUAUCUUUUUUUGUUAGCUAAUAUUUAAGAGGAGCAUGAUGCUAGUAUCUAUAAUAUGAUGUGGCUACAAAUGGAGCUGCUGCCAUGGAGGCUCUUCGGGCGGAACUUGCCCUAGCCAAGGAACAAGCCAGGAUAAGUGAUGCGGCUGCCCUAAAGGCGGCGGAAGAGUUAAGAGCCGAACAGGCUGCUCAUCGCCGGAGCAAAGAUAAACUAGCCAAGAUGGCUGUUGAGCUGAGAGAUGCCGCUGACCGAUAUGAGCUCCUUGAAAAGGAGAGCCAAGCGAAAGCAGCUGACCUGAAGAAGGCCUUGGUGUAGCCAAGGAAACGCGCUCUGAAAUUAGAGCUGCACGGGAGGAGCUUCGACAAGCCGGAGAUAUCACGGCUGGGAAGCCCUUUUUGUUGCGGAUGAAAUUCGGAGAUCCAAAGUAUGCUCCUCUGGAUUAGUUAUGGAGUGCUGCGGACGCGUAUGCGGACCUGGUAAAAAGUACUGUUGAUGCGACUGAGUCUUUCAAAGAUCGAAAAGAUCAUGAGGUAGAAAGGUUAUUCUGGUCGCAGUUUAGUUCCCUGACCCGUCCGCUGCCGUUGAAUGAAAGGAUGGCCGCAUGGGCCGAGCUCCAUAGGUUGUCCGAACUUGCCAUGAAGUCUGUCGUAGACCAUCUAUGGCCGAGGGGACCAAGGCUGGAUAGUUAUUUUGGUUUAGUGCAACAAUUCCUUGGCGCUGCGUCGCGUAUCGACGCUGUGAAGAGGUCGGCAUGCAUAGAGGGUGCGUGGAUGGCUCUUGCCCAUGUUAAAACAUAUUGGGCGGAUAUGGAGGCCACCGAUAUUGCAACUCGGGGUCCGGCGGGAGGCCAGGACCCGGCCGAGCACUAUUUUGAGCAAGUCCUCGAAGGCGCCCGUUUAAUAGAGGCUCAGUGCUCGAACAGUAUCAUGUUCGAGUGACAUAUAUCUCAAUUGUAAAAACAAUGUGAUUUUGAUUAUAAAGGUUGUAUUUAUACUUUUGCCCGAAAGUAUUGUAGUGCCUCCUGUGCGGCCGUUUAUGUAUGUAUAUAACCUGAAAGUUUGCAGUCGUCGGCUUCAGCCCCCACGCAUACAAUGCGGGGGUGUUCGAAAAAGGCACGUAAUCACACUUGAUCCAACGUCUUGGUCCAUUAAGGAGGUGAUCGUGCAUCAGGCAAUCAGACUAUAUUGCUUUAACACUUUCACUUAGCCAUAGGAGUUUGACAGUGGGGCUAUUAUAUAGCCCCUGGUACUUCCGAGUUCAUCUGAAUUCGGUGUGCGUACAUACAUGACCGGGAAACCAGUCCUUCAUUAAUGCGGAGGAAUCCUGAAGAUUCCGCUGAGUCAUCGAGUGGUUGACCAGUCUCUCGCUGUAUCAUGACAACAGUUUUUGGCUUUCUCUACUGAGGUGCUCGUCUGGAAUAACUAGGGCACAAUCGUAAUAGUUCUCCUUUGGCCGCCUUAGCCGAUAAAACGGAACGUAAGGUAGCAAACCCAGGAGCCGGGCAAACCCAACAUUUUACCAAAGACAUGAUUCGGAGCUGAUGCAUAUAAGGCCAAACUCGCGACGCCGAACACUCCCGAAGGUAUUCGGACUUUACAUAUACUGGGCUGAGUAACGCCCUCGAUAAUGAACCCCGAAUUACUAGGUAUGCGCAUUAACCUGACGUGACAAAAUGCCAAUAACGCCAGUAUCCCUCGUGGGUGUAUUGAGUACCCAGGGGAUAUCAAACAACAAGAGACAUUAAAGAAGGUUUACACAGGGGCUUAAUCUAAAGAGAAACCUUUGAGCGGGGCCAUGCUGCACGGCUGUGCCUUUGUCUCCGUUCGCCGUAUCCUGGAAGGGUGUAGCACGAUGGUCAUCUGUAAAAAAGGAAAACUCAGGUAAAAGAGUCUAGGGUAAUCGUGCAAGAAGUUGGUUAUUCUCAAUGAAUCAUGAAAACACAAUAUAUUAUUAUAUUAAUAGGGUCAAGCCGAACUGUGGGCUUUGAUACAUGUUCGCAGCCCCUAGCACCGCCUAUGGGGGUAUAUCUAUAGAUCCCAGCUUAGGUUUAUCUGUGCUAUUACCACCGGCGGUGCGCCAGAGUCGUCUAACCGUGUCCGCGGUCUUGACGAUCGAUCAUGUAUUCUGGUUUAAGAGGCCACUUAGUGUUCGGCUGCUAGAGCCACCACAUAUUCUUCCGCACAUAAGGAACGCUUUGUGUUUCCGCUAACUGUGAUGACGCCGCGUGGACCGGGCAUCUUGAGUUUAAGGUAGGCGUAGUGCGGUACUGCGUUAAAGCAAGCAAAGGCCGCUCUUCCGAGUAGUGCGUGAUAGCCGCUUCGGAAUGGAGCGAUGUCGAAGAUUAAUUAUUCGCUUUUGAAGUUGUCGGGAGAACCGAAUAUAACCUCUAAUACGAGGGAGCUCGUGCAGCGGGCCUCAACGCCUGGUAUUACUCCUUUAAAGGUAGUGUUACUUCGGCUGAUUCUUGACGGGUCUAUCCCCAUCUUGCGGACAGUGUCCUGAUAUAUCAGAUUAAGACUACUGCCACCGUCAAUAAGGACUCAAGUGAGGUGGUAUUCAUCAAUUAUUAGGUCGACCACCAAGGCAGCCGAUCCUCCGUGCCGGAUACUAGUCGUAUGAUCCCUGCGAUCAAAAGUGAUCGGACAAGCCGACCAAGGGUUGAAUUUGGGGGCGACGGGCUCUACAACGUAUACGUCUCUGAGUGCGCGUUUGCGCCUUCUCUUCGGUAUAUGAGUUGCAUAGAUCAUAUUCACUGUUUUGACUUCUGGUGGGAAUUUUUUCUGUCCCCCAGUGUUCGGUUGGCGAGGCUCAUCCUUGUCUUCGCUUGGCGUCUCCCUUCCUUUGUGUUUGGCGUUUAGCUUGCCGGCCUGCUUGAAGACCCAACAUUCUCUGUGGGUGUGGUUUGCAGGUUUUCUGGGGGUGCCAUGAAUUUGACAUAAUCUGUCUAGAACCUUAUUUAGGCUAGACGGUCCAUCCCCUCUGCCUUUAAAUGGCUUUUUCCGUUGACCGGGUCGAGAGCCCCUGAAUUCGGCAUUGACCGCCGUGUUGUCCGGACUCUCUUCCUUGUUUCGACGCUUAUUUUUGUUGCGUCGUGGCUUCCCGUUGCCAUCCCUAAUUUUGGAUGUGCCUGGGUCGCUAGUGCCUCUACGGGCCAACCAGCUGUCCUCACCCGCUCAAAAGCGGGUCAUAAGGCUUAUUAGGGCCGCCAUUGUCCUCGGCUUUUCUUGGCCGAGGUGUCUGGCAUCCGGACAAUCAAUAAUUUGAUUCUUCUUAGUAAGAAAUCUGUUCCAAAGCUUACGGGCUGACUCUCCGGGUUGUUGUAUUAUGUGACUUAAAUAAUCUGCAUCCGGAGGUCAGACAUAGGUCCCUUGAAAAUUGACCCUGAAAGCAUCCUCAAGUUACUCCCAACUUCCAAUUGAGUUUUCGGGGAGGCUUUUCAACCAGUGUCGAGCUGGUCCUUUCAACUUGAGGGGCAGAUAUUUAAUGGCGUGGAGAUCAUCUCCGUGAGCCAUGUGGAUAUGAUGGAUAAAGUCCUCAAUCCAGACCCCAGGGUCUGUCGUUUCGUCGUAUGCCUCUAUAUUUACGGGUUUGAAUCCCUGUGGAAAUUCAUGAUCCAGCACUUCAUUAGUGAAGCACAGGGGGUGUGCGGCACCCCUGUAAUUGGAUGUGUCGUGGCAUGCUGUUGAGGUUUGUUGUGUUCGGGGUUGAUCCCAAACUCGAAUUCGAUCAAUAUGUUCGUUUUGGUGGCUAUGAUCUUGCGCCGGAGCACGUCCUCUAGAUCCAUAGAUGGACCUGGUCGCACCAGCCUUUUUGUCCAGGAGCUCACGUAAAUCGUGUGCUGGCUUGUGUGCGGCGUCAAUAGCUGCUCUAUCGCGGCCACGAGGUGGUCGGUCUGGCUGAUCGGCCGUAUUAUUCUUCGGCGGGAUGGGCUCUAUGGCUUCGUCGUCGAAUUCGGGCAGUAGCUUGCGCUUUGGGUAGCUCUUUGUGUGGCAAUCGUCGCCAUAUUUUUCUUCACUGUCUAGCACUUUGUUCCAUCUGCGGUUGAGCGUAUCCUGCGCGGCCUUAAGCCUUUGCUUCUACUUCUUCAGGCUCCUCGCGGUGGCCAUAAGCCUUCUGUGGAGGUUCUCUUGUUCCAAGUGUUUUUCUGGGAUGAAUGCAUCGUCGUCCGGACUGUCCUCCUCUCCGGAGGCAGGUUGAUUAGUUUUACCCUCGGGUUCGUCGUGAUCGGGCGUCUGCUCCGGAUUAUAUUCGGCAUGCCCUGGCUCAUCCUGCUCCAUUGCUGGGUCCAUGGGGUCGUCGCUUCCUUUGGAGUCGACCGGGGUGUCAAUUUUUCUUGCGCCAUCAUCGCUAUUUUUACUGAGGCUGGAUUUAGAGCGGCGCCUGCGCCGUCGCUUUGGUUUCUGCCCGGGGGGAUUAUCCUCUGUGGCGUCCUUUUUGUCGCCGUUGUUCUCCUUGGGUGUGUCCACCAUGUAUAUAUCAUAUGAUGAGGUGGCUGUCCAGCGCCCCGUGGGUGGUGGUUCCUGAUCAUCUCCAGCAUCGACGUCCAUACCAUCGAUGUCUUCGAAGUCGAAGUCCAGCGUGUCGGUUAAGUCAUCGGAAGUGGCUAUUAAGUGGGUGGUGGGUGGGCAGCGAAAUUCCUCGUCAUCUGGAUCCCACUCGAGCCGGACAUAAUUCGGCCAAGAGUCUCCUGAUAAAGAGAGAGAGCUCAAUGAAUUUAGCACGUCACAAAGGGUGAGUUUUGAAAGAUAUCCGCGGAGGCAAACUCCAUGAUCGGUGCCCAAUCAGAUUCGAUGGGCACGGAUGCACGCGGUCCGGAACCUAAGUCUAGAGACAAGUCCAGGUGUCCGGUGACACAGAUUUCCUGAGAGGUGGAGUCUGUGUUUGGCUCCAUCGCCGAUGAAUGUGCGGCCUCCGUGGCGGGGUCCAUCCACCCAUCCUCGGAUGGCACGAUCUGCUCCAGAUUAAAGGUCGGGGCAGCUGCAGGUGCGAUAGUCCGAAUACCGUCCGAGGGCAGAUCUAAGUCAUGCACGUCGUGACUGUUCGCCGCUCCUGACACAGGCUCGAAUCCGUCGAAGAUCAAGUCUCCGCGAAUAUCAGCCGUGUAGUUCAAGUUUCCAAAUCUGACCUGAUGGCUAGGGGCGUAGCUGUCGAUCUGCUCUAGAUGGCCAAGCGAGUUGGCCCGCAGUGCGAAGCCGCCGAAUACGAAGAUCUGCCCGGGGAGGAAAACCUCACCCUGGACCGUAGCGUUGUUGACGAUUGAAGGAGCCAUCAAGCCUUAUCGUGACGACACAGUGGAACUCUCAAUGAAAGCACCAAUGUCGAUGUCAAAACCGGCGGAUCUCGGGUAGGGGGUCCUGAACUGUGCGUCUAAGGCUAAUGGUAACAGGAGGCUGGGGACACGAUGUUUACCCAGGUUAGGGCCCUCUCGAGGAAGGUGAUACCCUACUUCCUGCUUGAUUGAUCUUGAUGAUAUGAGUAUUACAAGAGUUGAUCUACCACGAGAUCGUAGAGGCUAACCCUAGAAGCUAGCCUAUGAUUAUGAUUGUUCUUCUUGUCCUACGGACUAAAUCCUCCGGUUUAUAUAGACACCGGAGGGGGCUAGGGUUACACAGAGUCGGUUACAGAGAAGGAGAUCUAUAUAUCCGAAUCGCCAAGCUUGCCUUCCACGCAAAGGAGAGUCCCAUCCGGACACGUGACAAAGUCUUAAAUCUUGUGUCUUCAUAGUCCAAUAGUCCGGCCAAAAUAUAUAGUCCGGCUGUCCUAAUACCCCCUAAUCCAGGACUCCCUCAAGCAUCAUUGUAUAUUUGACAAGUAUAAGAGGAAAUAGCCAUUAUCGCUCUCUCCCAUGCGCCCUAUUGGCUUGACUAUACUGAAAGCAACAUGCAAAUUUGUGCGGCACCAAAGAGCAAAAGAGAAUAAGUUGUACGAGGGGGAAACUCAAUAACAACACUUUGAGACUAGUACUGUGGUGCAGCAAACAGAAGAAAUGGAGGAGAAAGAGCUAGUGAGGUGUAGUUACAAUAAAUCCGCUAAGUUCGGGAAUAGGAGACGCCAGGGAAGAAAUAUUUGUGUGUGGGGAGACUUGAGCAAUGGGCUCUGGUUGCUGGUUAUUCAGAGCUGACCUUCGACGUUUUGUGUCGCGUCGAACCGGAGAGACCGCGUGCGUCGCAGAGCACGCUGCCACGACAAACCAUGGCGCUGUUGUCGACCGCUGCACCAUCCCUUUGUGCUGCAGAUCCCACCAUCGCCUGAAAGUGUCGCACUCGUGCUGAGCUUGCCGUCAACCAGGCGUGUCGACCACAUCAACUGGCACACAGUCAUCUAUUGGCUAGCAGAUGGUGGUGAACUAGUUAGCAGAUGGGGGUGAGCAUUAUCUUUGAGAACCUUUCUGAAUGCAGUUAAUUAUUUUUAUGUGGUUCAAAUGAAACUGGAAUUUGCAUUGAAGAUGAAAUUGUGCAAUAUCAAGAUUACUUUUGUCGGAGAUGGUGGUGGGGAUUGAUCUUUC